GAGGUUAAACACGCGGUUCCAGACAGGAGGUUAAACACGCGGUUCCAGACAGGAGGUUAAACACGCGGUUCCAGACAGGAGGUUAAACACGCGGUUCCAGACAGGAGGUUAAACACGCGGUUCCAGACAGGAGGUUAAACACGCGGUUCCAGACAGGAGGUUAAACACGCGGUUCCAGACAGGAGGUUAAACACGCGGUUCCAGACAGGAGGUUAAACACGCGGUUCCAGACAGGAGGUUAAACACGCGGUUCCAGACAGGAGGUUAAACACGCGGUUCCAGACAGGAGGUUAAACACGCGGUUCCAGACAGGAGGUUAAACACGCGGUUCCAGACAGGAGGUUAAACACGCGGUUCCAGACAGGAGGUUAAACACGCGGUUCCAGACAGGAGGUUAAACACGCGGUUCCAGACAGGAGGUUAAACACGCGGUUCCAGACAGGAGGUUAAACACGCGGUUCCAGACAGGAGGUUAAACACGCGGUUCCAGACAGGAGGUUAAACACGCGGUUCCAGACAGGAGGUUAAACACGCGGUUCCAGACAGGAGGUUAAACACGCGGUUCCAGACAGGAGGUUAAACACGCGGUUCCAGACAGGAGGUUAAACACGCGGUUCCAGACAGGAGGUUAAACACGCGGUUCCAGACAGGAGGUUAAACACGCGGUUCCAGACAGGAGGUUAAACACGCGGUUC